rnacentral:rRNA from 1 species
AUUGAACGCUGGCGGUAUGCCUAACACAUGCAAGUCGAACGGUAACAGAGAGAAGCUUGCUUCUUUGCUGACAAGUGGCGGACGGGUGAGUAACGCGUGGGAAUCUACCUGAUAGUUGGGGAUAGCCCGGAGAAAUCCGGAUUAAUACCGAAUAAUAUCUACGGAUGAAAAGGUGCCUCUGCUUGCAAGCACUUGCUAACAGAUGAGCCCGCGUUAGAUUAGUUUGUUGGUGGGGUAACGGCCUACCAAGACUGCGAUCUAUAGCUGGUUUGAGAGGAUGAUCAGCCACAUUGGGACUGAGACACGGCCCAGACUCCUACGGGAGGCAGCAGUGGGGAAUAUUGGACAAUGGGCGCAAGCCUGAUCCAGCAAUACCGCGUGUGUGAAGAAGGCCUUAGGGUUGUAAAGCACUUUUAUGUAGGAAGAACGGUUAUGAGUUAAUAGCUUAUGACUUUGACGGUACUACAAGAAUAAGCACCGGCUAACUCCGUG